rnacentral:rRNA from 1 species
AUGACGAGGCAACGGUGGCUGCGCCGGAGCCUCGCCGUCCCUCCCGUGGCUGAGGGAUCCGACGUCGACGGAUCUCACGGGAUGAUGACACGAGCGCGGCGCCGGCGGCUUUGCCUGCUCGCAGAAUCAUCCGAGCGCGAGCGAUUGGCCAAUCUUGGCGCGACAGAUGAAUCAUCGGCAAGGGAGACGACGGAAGCGCGUCGUCAGGUCCACUUCGGCCCGGAGGAAUGGAGGGAUUGGGCCAACCUGCUUCCUCUGGACCUCGUCGAGGAGAUCUCCGGUCGGCUGCUCUCCCUCGACGUGGCCGAGUACCUCCGCUUCCGCGCCGUGUGCAGGCCAUGGCGCGGACUCACCGCCGACCCGCGCACGGCAGGGAUCCUCGACAGUCGCUUCCGCCCCCGCAACUGGAUGGUGCUCUCCAUGAACCACGAGGCCGAGCCCCACCGCCGCCUCCUCAACCUGGCCACCGCGGCCUCUCUCGCCAUCCACCUCCCGGCGCUCUCCACCCACUGCCACAUCGGCGCCGCCGACGGCCUCCUCGUCCUCUUCCACAAGCCCACCAAGGCCAUUCACCUCCUCGACCCACUCACCAACACCGUCACCGAGUUCCCAGCCGUCUCCAACAUCAUUGUCGCCGUUCCCCCCUAUAGUGAACGUUACAUCCCGAAGUUGUUGCAGAAUCCCCUCCGCGUUGUUCCGAGGGUGAUCAAUGGCGCAUGUUUUGACGACUCCACCUCCCGGCCCACACUCAUCCUCUGCCUGAGAGCCGGUGUAGCCACCAUCAUCUUCGCCAAACCUGGCGAUGCGCACUGGACGCUGGUCAGCCCAGGCCAGAUCUCCUACCCCAUGUACGACAGUCAUCGCAAGGUACUAUUCCGCACAUUGCUGUCCCUCGGUGGACGUUGCUACAUCAGCUCGCCAGAGGGUUCGGUCUACCUUCUUGAGCUGCAGCCGCUACCUCGGCUGGUGGAGGUGGUUGACCAGCGCUGCUUUGCCGAGAAAGACUACAUUUGGUUCAAUCACAUUAUCUCGCACCUGGUCCGUGGCACCGGUGGGAGGAUGCUGAUGGUGCGGUACUGGAGAGGCAUGGAGCGGUUCGGCGGCGUUGAGGCAUACAAUCGAAAGGAGCUAUUCACAGUGGGCGGCAUCACCAGCCGCAUUGAGCUGUUGGAGGUGGACAUCGCCGGCAGGAGGCUGGUCCCCGUCAGGAGCCUUGGUCAGAACGCGGUGUUUGUCGGCCUGACGCACUGCUUGCACAUCUCCACGGAGACAUUCCCCUCCAUUUCUGCCGACUCAGUAUACCUGGGCUGCCGUCAUCAGCAAUCUUAUGGGUUCAGCAUCUAUCAUAUCAACAAGAAGAAGAACCACAGGAGGGUUGCAGCCAAGCACAAGUUCGUCUACGAUAUGACACAGGGUUAUACUCCGGAUGCCAGACCCUACAACCUUGACGAGUAUCUUGUACACUAUGUCGACCGUAGACACAACUUCAGUAAGUCAUGUAUGAAUCAUAUCAGCUCUUGCUUUAUCUAG